rnacentral:rRNA from 1 species
UACGUAGGGUGCAAGCGUUAAUCGGAAUUACUGGGCGUAAAGGGCGCGUAGGCGGCCUUCUAAGUCGAACGUGAAAUCCCCGGGCUCAACCCGGGAACUGCGUCCGAUACUGGAAGGCUUGAAUCCGGGAGAGGGAUGCGGAAUUCCAGGUGUAGCGGUGAAAUGCGUAGAUAUCUGGAGGAACACCGGUGGCGAAGGCGGCAGUCCUGGACCGGUAUUGACGCUGAGGCGCGAAAGCCAGGGGAGCAAAGCGG